rnacentral:lncRNA from 1 species
UGUCCCUUGCCAGAAGCUAAAUUGUAGCAAAUGUAAGCUGUCUUUUUUCCCCUCUCUUUCUAUCUUUCCAUAGUUCCUCCGAGGGUCGGGGAGGAAGAAGCAGGGACAGGAAGAGGGGUGAUUCAAUGUUUACUUACUUAUUGCAUUACUACAGAGCUAUAUGAUCCAGCUUUAACAUUAGAAGGCAUGCAACCCCAUAACAGUGAGGAACAGGUUUGUGAUCCUGUAUAUCCCGGUAUGUGUAAGGCCAUGGACAAAACCAGUACUGGUUCCCUUGAAGAACUCUGUGGGUAA